ensembl:snRNA U6 U6 spliceosomal RNA
GUGCUGGCGUCAGACGCACAUAUACUAAAAUUGGACCAAUACAGGGAAGAUUGGCACAUUACCCUUGUGUAAGGAUGACAUGCAAAUUCAAAAAGCAUUACAUAUUUUU